AGUUCUUGAAUCUUGUAGUAUUCAAAGGAUAGUACCUUGAUUGUGUUAAUUCUCGAGUUCCUCAUGUGAAUAGAACAAGGAUUAAGCUACUGGGUACUUUUGAAUUGUGACUGCUGCAGUUGUAAACUAUUCUCUUAUUCAUUUUCCAAGUUUGUUGACAAUUCCAAAGUUUUUUUUUUCUUUUUUUUGAUUUCAUCUUGGCCUCUCCCUAUUGUUUUAAAGGAACUUGCACAAGAUACACUUAUGUUGGAAUUGGCACGAGAUCGUGCAGUGGCUGCAACUCAAGAUUCUCAGGCCAAGGCAUCCUCUUUGACUAAUGCAGCUGUGGGUGCUUCUCUUGGAGCCGGUCUUGGUAUCAUCCUAGCUGUUGUCAUGGGCGCAGCAUCUGCCCUAAGGAAACCAUGAUAUCCAAAACAGUUUUGGUCCUUUGUCGUCCAAUGGCAUAUCCGCCAGAUGUAUAAUGAGUCAGCUAAAAAGGUUCAGUUCUCUGCUAGCAUGGAGAAUUUAAUUAUGAAGUUAAAGCCACACCUAGAGUAGGUGAGUUUCAGAAAACAUCAAAUGUAAUUAUUAUUCGUGGCUAAAAUUUAUAUUUCUUUAUUGCAUGAAAAAUUAUUAAAUAUUCUCGAAAUAGCUCAGGCUAAUCAUGUGCAUUGUUUACAUUGUUACUUCUGCCUAAUUAGAAAUCACAGUUACAAAUCACAAUAAGUGAAUUAGUAUUAGUUGUCUCAAAGUACUUAACAAAGGUGAGUCCUGUAAACUUUUUCGUUAUGUGAUUGAUUUGGAACAAAAA